UUUCUACCACUUCAAUAUCUUUCGUCUACAAAGUUUGUGAGGAGUUAGAGAUUGAAGAAGGAAACGUAUCGCCAGUAUCAAAGCAUAAAAAGCAUUCUAAACGCUCUGAAGUAGUCAGAACACCUGAAUUUAUCUAGCAAGUUUAACAGACCAUUAAUUACAAUCCCAGAAAUUCCACGAGGUCAAUUGCAAAAGAUCUACAUGUGUCAGAAGGUACAGUCAGAAAUGUCCACGAAGACAUGAAAUAUAUAUCAUAUAUGAUGAAGAAAGGUCAAUU